rnacentral:rRNA from 1 species
GAUGAACGCUGGCGGCGUGCCUAAUACAUGCAAGUCGAGCGAACAGACGAGGAGCUUGCUCCUCUGAUGUUAGCGGCGGACGGGUGAGUAACACGUGGAUAACCUACCUAUAAGACUGGGAUAACUUCGGGAAACCGGAGCUAAUACCGGAUAAUAUAUUGAACCGCAUGAUUCAAUAGUGAAAGACGGUUUUGCUGUCACUUAUAGAUGGAUCCGCGCCGCAUUAGCUAGUUGGUAAGGUAACGGCUUACCAAGGCAACGAUGCGUAGCCGACCUGAGAGGGUGAUCGGCCACACUGGAACUGAGACACGGUCCAGACUCCUACGGGAGGCAGCAGUAGGGAAUCUUCCGCAAUGGGCGAAAGCCUGACGGAGCAACGCCGCGUGAGUGAUGAAGGUCUUCGGAUCGUAAAACUCUGUUAUUAGGGAAGAACAAAUGUGUAAGUAACUAUGCACGUCUUGACGGUACCUAAUCAGAAAGCCACGGCUAACUACGUG